GACCAACAUUAGAAUUGAGACGUAUACAAACAAGACUAGUAGUAUUCUAUAAGAUUAUACACCAACACAUAGCAAUCUACCCUAAAGAUCUUCUUGUUAAAUCAGACAGUAGAACAAGACAUAAACAUACCAACCACUUUAAACAAAUUCAAACAAAUAAAGAUUCUUACAAGUUCUCAUUUUAUCCACAUACAAUAGUACAAUGGAACCUACUACCUACAUCAGCAAUCCUU
rnacentral:lncRNA from 1 species